AGCAGCCGCGGUAAUUCCAGCUCCAAUAGCGUAUAUUAAAGUUGUUGCAGUUAAAAAGCUCGUAGUUGAAUUUCGGGGUUAGUAGGUUGGUCAUGCCUCUGGUAUGUACUGGUCUCACUGAUUCCUCCUUCCUUAUGAACCGUAAUGCCAUUAAUUUGGUGUUGCGAGGAAUUUGGACUGUUACUUUGAAAAAAUUGAGUGUUUAAAGCAAGCUAACGCUUGAAUACAUUAGCAUGGAAUAAUGAAAUAGGACGUUCGAUCUUAUUUUGUUGGUUUCUAGGAUUGACGUAAUGAUUAAUAGAGAUAGUUGGGGGCAUUAGUAUUCAAUUGUCAGAGGUGAAAUUCUUGGAUUUAUUGAAGACUAACUACUGCGAAAGCAUUUGCCAAGGAUGUUUUCACUAAUCAAGAACGAAAGUUAGGGGAUCGAAGACGAUCAGAUACCGUCGUAGUCUUAAACCAUAAACUAUGCCGACUAGGGGAUCGGGAUGAUGUUUAAUUUUUANGACUUCAUUCGGCGUCC
rnacentral:rRNA from 1 species